rnacentral:rRNA from 1 species
UACGGGGGGGGCAAGCGUUGUUCGGAAUUACUGGGCGUAAAGGGCUCGUAGGUGGCCAACUAAGUCGGACGUGAAAUCCCCAGGCUCAACUUGGGAACUGCGUCCGAUACUGGAUGGCUUGAAUUCGGGAGAGGGAUGCAGAAUUCCAGGUGUAGCGGUGAAAUGCGUAGAUAUCUGGAGGAAUACCGGUGGCGAAGGCGGGUCUCUGGGCCGAUACUGACGCUGAGGAGCGAAAGCGUGGGGAGCGAACAGG